UGACCUCAAAUCAGGUAGGACUACCCGCUGAACUUAAGCAUAUCAAUAAGCGGAGGAAAAGAAACUAACAAGGAUUCCCCUAGUAACUGCGAGUGAAGCGGGAAAAGCUCAAAUUUAAAAUCUGGCGGUCUUUUGGCUGUCCGAGUUGUAAUCUAGAGAAGUGUUAUCCGCGCUGGACCGUGUACAAGUCUCCUGGAAUGGAGCAUCAUAGAGGGUGAGAAUCCCGUCUUUGACAUGGACUACCAGGGCUUUGUGAUGCGCUCUCAAAGAGUCGAGUUGUUUGGGAAUGCAGCUCAAAAUGGGUGGUAAAUUCCAUCUAAAGCUAAAUAUUGGCGAGAGACCGAUAGCGAACAAGUACCGUGAGGGAAAGAUGAAAAGAACUUUGGAAAGAGAGUUAAACAGUACGUGAAAUUGCUGAAAGGGAAACGCUUGAAGUCAGUCGCGUCGUCCAGGGAUCAACCUUGCUUUUGCUUGGUGCACUUUCUGGUUCGAUGGGUCAGCAUCAAUUUUGACUGUUGGAAAAAGGUUGAGGGAAUGUGGCAUCUUUGGAUGUGUUUAUAGCCCUUGGUCACAUACAAUGGUUGGGGUUGAGGAACUCAGCACGCCGCAAGGCCGGGUUAUAAA
rnacentral:rRNA from 1 species